rnacentral:misc_RNA from 1 species
AUGCGAUAAGUAAUGUGAAUUGCAGAAUUCAGUGAAUCAUCGAAUCUUUGAACGCACAUUGCGCCCGCCAGUAUUCUGGCGGGCAUGCCUGUUCGAGCGUCAUUACAACCCUCAGGCCCCCGGGCCUGGCGUUGGGGAUCGGCAGAAGCCCCCUGUGGGCACACGCCGUCCCUCAAAUACAGUGGCGGUCCCGCCGCAGCUUCCAUUGCGUAGUAGCUAACACCUCGCAACUGGAGAGCGGCGCGGCCAUGCCGUAAAACACCCAACUUCUGAAUGUUGACCUCGAAUCAGGUAGGAAUACCCGCUGAACUUAA